rnacentral:rRNA from 1 species
CCUACGGGAGGCAGCAGUGAGGAAUAUUGGUCAAUGGACGAGAGUCUGAACCAGCCAAGUAGCGUGAAGGAUGACUGCCCUAUGGGUUGUAAACUUCUUUUAUAAAGGAAUAAAACGAGGCACGUGUGCCUUUUUGCAUGUACUUUAUGAAUAAGGAUCGGCUAACUCCGUGCCAGCAGCCGCGGUAAUACGGAGGAUGCGAGCGUUAUCCGGAUUUAUUGGGUUUAAAGGGAGCGUAGACGGGUUGUUAAGUCAGUUGUUAAAGUUUGCGGCUCAACCGUAAAAUUGCAAUUGAUACUGGCAGUCUUGAGUUCAGUUGAGGUAGGCGGAAUUCGUGGUGUAGCGGUGAAAUGCUUAGAUAUCACGAAGAACCCCGAUUGCGAAGGCACCUUACUAAACUGUGACUGACAUUGAUGCUCGAAAGUGUGGGUAUCAAACAGGAUUAGAUACCCCGGUAGUC